rnacentral:rRNA from 1 species
CGAUCGGUAGCCGGACUGAGAGGUUGAACGGCCACAUUGGGACUGAGACACGGCCCAGACUCCUACGGGAGGCAGCAGUGGGGAAUAUUGCACAAUGGGGGAAACCCUGAUGCAGCGACGCCGCGUGGAGGAAGAAGGUCUUCGGAUUGUAAACUCCUGUUGUUGAGGAAGAUAAUGACGGUACUCAACAAGGAAGUGACGGCUAACUACGUGCCAGCAGCCGCGGUAAAACGUAGGUCACAAGCGUUGUCCGGAAUUACUGGGUGUAAAGGGAGCGCAGGCGGGAAGACAAGUUGGAAGUGAAAUCUAUGGGCUCAACCCAUAAACUGCUUUCAAAACUGUUUUUCUUGAGUAGUGCAGAGGUAGGCGGAAUUCCCGGUGUAGCGGUGGAAUGCGUAGAUAUCGGGAGGAACACCAGUGGCGAAGGCGGCCUACUGGGCACCAACUGACGCUGAGGCUCGAAAGUGUGGGUAGCAAACAGGAUUAGAUACCCUGGUAGUCCACACCGUAAACGAUGAUUACUAGGUGUUGGAGGAUUGACCCCUUCAGUGCCGCAGUUAACACAAUAAGUAAUCCACCUGGGGAGUACGACCGCAAGGUUGAAACUCAAAGGAAUUGACGGGGGCCCGCACAAGCAGUGGAGUAUGUGGUUUAAUUCGACGCAACGCGAAGAACCUUACCAAGUCUUGACAUCCCUUGACGAACAUAGAAAUAUGUUUUCUCUUCGGAGCAAGGAGACAGGUGGUGCAUGGUUGUCGUCAGCUCGUGUCGUGAGAUGUUGGGUUAAGUCCCGCAACGAGCGCAACCCUUAUGGUCAGUUACUACGCAAGAGGACUCUGGCCAGACUGCCGUUGACAAAACGGAGGAAGGUGGGGAUGACGUCAAAUCAUCAUGCCCUUUAUGACUUGGGCUACACACGUACUACAAUGGCGUUAAACAAAGAGAAGCAAGACCGCGAGGUGGAGCAAAACUCAGAAACAACGUCCCAGUUCGGACUGCAGGCUGCAACUCGCCUGCACGAAGUCGGAAUUGCUAGUAAUCG